rnacentral:rRNA from 1 species
UACGGAAGGCAGCAGGGGGGAAUAUUGCACAAUGGGCGCAAGCCUGAUGCAGCCAUGCCGCGUGUAUGAAAAAGGCCUUCGGGUUGUAAAGUACUUUCAGUCGUGAGGAAGGUGUUAAGGUUAAUAACCUUAGCAAUUGACGUUAGCGACAGAAGAAGCACCGGCUAACUCCGUGCCAGCAGCCGCGGUAAUACGGAGGGUGCGAGCGUUAAUCGGAAUUACUGGGCGUAAAGGGCACGCAGGCGGUUAAUUAAGUUGGAUGUGAAAUCCCCGGGCUUAACUGGGAAUGGCAUUCAAGACUGGUUAGCUAGAGUCUUGUAGAGGGGGUAGAAUUCCAUGUGUAGCGGUGAAAUGCGUAGAGAUGUGGAGGAAUACCGGUGGCGAAGGCGGCCCCUGGACAAAGACUGACGCUCAUGUGCGAAAGCGUGGGGAGCAAACAGGGAUUAGAUACC